rnacentral:tRNA from 1 species
UUAAUUGAAGCCAAAAAGAGGCUUAUCACUGUUAAUGGUAGAACUGAGAAUAAUCUCCAAUUAAG